ensembl:lncRNA
CGCCCUCUUCUCCCUCUGGAACUCCGACCAAGUUUGUUCCAGAUUACCAGCAUCCAUCUUUUAAGAACUGGGUGGAUCUGCAGGAAAGACAGAUGAAGGAUGGAGACGUGCCUUUGAUUCUGAACAAUGUGAUGACUGCUGAUAGUGAAAGAUACGACUGCAGUGUUGACAAGAGUGGGAGUGAUAGUUUGACUCACAUCAACACCAUGUACCUGAAAGUUGAUCCUCCAGGUCAGACAGGAGGACACACAGAGGAUGGAGGGAAAGAGGAUGGAAUAAGUAGAGGAUGCGCUGGAUUGCUAACAGGUCCACGUCCAUGUCCGACUUUACUUGGAGAUGUGCCAUCCUGGAGAAUCUGCAGCCUGAAUGGACUGCAGGUUCAUGACUCCUUAAGUACACUUGCAAAAAG